rfam:Schistosoma curassoni strain Dakar, Senegal genome assembly, scaffold: SCTD_contig0009324
AUCCAGCUGACGAGUCCAAAUACGACGAAACACAUGUUCAGGAU